rnacentral:lncRNA from 1 species
UAGAAUUUUGUGUGGUUAAGCCUGGAGUGAGGUACGAUUGUUGACAUGCUAUUGCGUAAUUAUUUAAGUCAGGUUUUUAACUUUUUAUAUAUUCUAAUUGUUGCUUUAUUAUUUAUCAACUGAGGCAUGAUUAUUGUGUGCACUUCUUACUGAAGAUGAUCCUGGUGUUGUUUGUUUGACAAAAGAAAGAGAGGCUCGAUGUGCAUAUUUAUCCUUAUUUUGUUCAAUUAUAAUGGGAUGAAGUUACUUCAUUGACUGAUAGUUGUUGGUAGUGAUAGACAAUAGGCUAUUUACUAGAGCAGUUCAAGCAAGAAUACUUCCAGAAUCCAUCUUGUGAUCUGUUGGUAAAUUAGUAUUGCAGUUACUAAGCCUUUGUGCAUUCCGAUACAGCUCUACUGAAAUGCUGCUUUCUUAUGUCCAUUUUAAAUCCAGUCACUAUGGCUGAGCAGGCAUCAAGUCAAGCAAAGGGGAUUUUAUGGUUGCAGCCGAGACCAGUGCUUAGAAGAAAUUGACAGGACAGAUGAAGUAUCCAUAUAUGAGAUAAAACCAGUGACAAUCCAUCUAAUACCAUGGGUCCACAUGAUGAGAAGGAUAUUUGCAUACCAGGGAAAGCAUCACAUAAGAGGUCAUUUUUCUCAGUUUCAUAGGUAUUACAGAAUUGUCUGGGUCGAACUUUAUGUUAUUCAUAGAAAGAAAUGCAUGAGGCAAAGAUUGUUAUAACACCCAAUAACUGAGAAAAAACACCAGUUCAGGCUUCUAAACUCCACUAUUAGAAAGUAGGACCAUGAGAGCAGAACAAAGAAACUACGUGUCUAUGCUUUUCAAAUGCUUUGCAGCCAUGUUUCCUCCAUGCUUCUACAUGAUAAUUAGGAUGCAGGCAACUGGCAAGUACACUAGCUGAACUUAAAUACUUGAACUACAACUGAAUAUAUGCAUGUCCCACAUCAGGCCAGUGCGAUCGUCGCCUAGCUAGCCGAAUAUGUAUAUGAAACCCUCUUGUUUUUUUAUAAGAGAACUAAAAAUAGCAAUCAGUAUGAAAGCUAUGACGACCUAAAUCUAAUGUGAUUUAUGUGCUUACUUCAUUUCAGUCUGUACCGUGAAAUUCAAGGAACAAUCAAUGUAUCACACCAGAUUUAUUUGUACCUUUUAUCUCACACCAGAUCAAUGUCUCCGUCACCUAGCCCACCGAGUUAACAUGCAAACCUCUUCUUUUAUUAUAGAAAAGGGAAAACAUAUGCAGCAGAUGCUAGCUAAAUUAUGAUCGAUGCAGUUUAAGCUAAUUCAUGUGUUUACGUUGCUUCUCUUCUUAUUGUAAAAUUUAGGGGACGAAAGUUACUCUGUCUGCACCAUGUCAGGAGGGUGCUUUUGGAUGUCGACUUCAUUUAUUUCAUAUGUAAGGUAAGGAUUUAAAGGUCAAACAUCUCAUGCUUGGUUACUUUUCUGUGUAUGUAUGUUCCUUGCAUGGUUUUGAGUUUCGGAGUUAAUGGGGAUUAAAAUUAUACGUUUUUUGGAUUCUGAUUCAGUGAGAUGCUUAAACAAUGAUAAUUUUUACUUUCAAACAAAUUUGAUGCUGACUUGUGAUAUAUUUCUCAGUUUCCUUACCCUUGUGUGUUCAGCUACCUAUUCUACAAGUUUUAUUGUAGGAAACCUCCAUUUAUAUUACUGAGUAGUUUACUCGAUUGAGCAGUUCACUCAAUCGAGGUUCAAGUGUUAGGUUAUCGUGGCGUAUCUUUUAGUUUCUGAAACACACAUUGUUUGGUUCAAAUAGAGAUGUGUAGCAGAGACGUUCAAGCGGAAAAUGGCAAUUACUAACUACU